rnacentral:lncRNA from 1 species
GAUGAAAAAUAUGAGUUUAUGGAGCUUCCUACAAAACCCAUGAGAGACAUUACAGGUGCUUGCAUGUCUCCAUGAAGAAAACAACAAAGUAUACCAUGGCCCAGUACUCAGAUUCAGGUAACCUAAACAACGAUGGGUAACAGUUUUAUGGUAUAUUGACGGUCACAGAAGAAAGAAAUUAUCAAUCUAGGUAUAUUCCAAUUCCACUGGUUUAUAGAGUAGUGGAGAGAUUUCAUCAAAGAUACGUUUUUACUGUCACCUGAUCAUAUUUAUAGCAUUUGUGCUUGUGGAUAAUAGAUAGUUAACAUUUCAAAAUAAUUACUGGGCACACAGGGGUAAAGAGACGCAAGGAGACAUUCUUCAUACUUGUAUGGCUUUUGUCCAGUGUGAAUAUUUUGGAAUUUAAGCUCUAGAGUAAAACAUUUUGCCACUCUUCACAUUUGUGGCGUUACUCUCCAGUAGGAACUACUAUAGCUGGUAACAGUCAAUGGAGAAGGCUCUUCGACAUCCAUCACAUUUCCAUGCUUUCUCUUUUGUUUUUUUUUUUUUUUUGGUUUUUCGAGACAGGAUUUCUCUGUGUAGCCUUGGCUGUCCUGGAACUCAUUCUGUAGACCAGGCUGGCCUCGAACUCAGAAAUUCACCUGCCUCUGCCUCCCAAGGCUAUAAAGAGAAACCCUGUCUUGAAAAAACCAAAAAAAAAAAAAAAAAGGAAAGAAUUAGAAGACAAGGCUUUCCCA